UACGAAGGGGGCUAGCGUUGUUCGGAUUUACUGGGCGUAAAGGGCGCGUAGGCGGUCAGCACAAGUCAGUUGUGAAAUCUCCGGGCUUAACUCGGAACGGUCAAGUGAUACUGUCGGACUAGAGUACAGAAGGGGCAACUGGAAUUCUCGGUGUAGCGGUGAAAUGCGUAGAUAUCGAGAGGAACACCUGCGGCGAAGGCGGGUUGCUGGGCUGAUACUGACGCUGAGGCGCGAAAGCCAGGGGAGCGAACGGG
rnacentral:rRNA from 1 species